AUGGUUAGAUAGCAUCACUGACUCAAUAGACAUGAAUUUGAGCAAACUCUGUGAGGUAGUAAAGGAAAGGAAAGCCUAGUGCACUGCAGUCCAUGGAGUCUCAAACAGUUUGACAUGACUUAGUGACUGAACAAUAACAAAUAGAUAUUUAUAUGAAGGGAGAGAGAAAGAGGGAAACAGUCAUAUCCCAACCCUUUAUUUUCUGGUUUGGAAAGCAAAACAAAAUAAGUGCAUACAGUAUGAAGAAUUAACAUUUAAAUCUUAGGAAUUAUGUCUUCAGGGAGCUAUGAACUAGCUGUGAAGUGUAAGGCUAUCAUGGUGAGAAAUUUAUUUUUGAAUUGCCAUUUUGCCUAUAUAGACAUUAAUGAGUUUAACAGAAGUAUCGAUUAAUUGAGUUCUAAUUGGUGUAAUGCUAGAUGACUGAGUAUGCCAGUUCUUAUGAUAGUUUACUGUUUGAAACAUGAGUUUAAUUUUCCUGAUUUCAUUAGUCAUAACUGUUAUGCACCAUAUAAUGAUGUGACCAUUUUCUUCUCAUCACAGGGUCUCAUCUUAAUGGCUCAUGCAGUAUUAAAUUCCAGUUUGUUGAACUGGAGCACAGCUGUGCUUUCUGUAGAAUGCUUCCUCAUGGUGCUUUAUGAAGACUUCACUUUCUUAGAGUUUAGCUCCAUUUAUGAUUGCUUUUGGAAAAGGUUGUCUGGUUUUCUGGCUUUCUCAUCUAUAGAACCUAUCUUUUUAUUUAGUAGGUUCAUAAUACAAGUGUAUACUUCUUCCAUUUUUGCUUUCUUUCUAUUGUCUUUCCCUUCUUGUUUUUGUGUGUUAAUUAUGAAAGCAUGAUAAAACAUCUACAAGAGACUUGGAAAAUACAGAAUAAAGUUACAUAUAGUGUCACUGUACAUUACAAUUAUUUUUAAGUAGAUAAAUUAGUUAGAAUUUUAGUAUCAAACUAUCAAAAAUUAUAGAAUGAAUAGAUAGAAAAGUAGAAGGGUGUAGUUGACCUGAAAACACUAUGAACCAAUUCAACAUAAUUAAGAUUUACGCAGUUUUCACUCACCAGCAGGGUAUGGAUUCUAUUCAAGUUCCCACAGACUACAAAUCAGGAGAUGCUGGAACAUACCCAGGGACAUGACAACUCAACAUUCUCCAACAUUUACAUCAUUCCCACCAUCCUAUUAACAUGCUGUCCUAACAGUCCUUCCUGCGUAAGGAUGAGAACCACGUCAAGACCAAAUGUGACUUCACCACUACAGACCCUGAAGUAGCCGAUGAUUGUGUCACGGGGCUGUGAGUGUGAUCAACCAUAUGGUAACUGACCUCCCUCUGAAGUCCCUCUUCACAGCAGAGUAAACAAUUAUGCAUUGAUAAACUCAGGCAUGCCUACUGAGUAAUGAAACAUGGGUAGAAAGCGCAUGGCGUUUCCCAGCAGUCUUUCAGCACCAGAGUUGGAUUUGUCUUGUCUUCCCCUCUACUUGGACACCAAGCGCAUCAGAUCCAGGCUGCACCACUGGGCGGGCCUCUGAGGGAAGCCGGGGAACAGAGGAGGGGACAGAGUCCCUGCUGAGCCACACAGACACACAUCCAGGGAGAAACCCCUGUAGCUACCUGGACAUGGAGGCAGUUUGUUAAUGCAGCAUCCCCUAGCUGUCCUGAGAUCUAUGAAGAAUCAGGUGGUAUUCAGAAGUGUUAUCUUUACAUGGAGAGAAGUCUAUUUUAAAAUUGUGGUAAUGAUUCAGUUCAGUUCAGUCACUCAGUCGUGUCCGAUUCUUUGCGACCCCAU
rnacentral:lncRNA from 1 species